rnacentral:rRNA from 1 species
UACGUAGGGGCCUAGCGUUGUCCGGAUUUAUUGGGCGUAAAGCGCACGUAGGCGGUUCGUUAUGUCGGAUGUGAAAGCCCUUGGCUUAACCGAGGAAGUGCAUCCGAAACUGGCGAGCUAGAGUACUAAAGAGGAUCGCGGAAUUCCCGGUGUAGAGGUGAAAUUCGUAGAUAUCGGGAGGAACACCGGUGGCGAAGGCGGCGAUCUGGGUAGAUACUGACGCUGAGGUGCGAAAGCGUGGGGAGCAAACAGG